rnacentral:rRNA from 1 species
UACAGAGGUCUCAAGCGUUGUUCGGAUUCAUUGGGCGUAAAGGGUGCGUAGGCGGCCCGAUUAGUCCGCUGUGAAAGUCCAGGGCUCAACCCCGGAACUGCCUUCGAUACUGCUGGUCUGGAGUCCGAGAGAGGUGAGUGGAAUUCCGAGUGUAGAGGUGAAAUUCGUAGAUAUUCGGAAGAACACCAGUGGCGAAGGCGGCUCACUGGCCCGGUACUGACGCUGAGGUGCGAAAGCGUGGGGAGCAAACAGG